rnacentral:lncRNA from 1 species
AGAAGAAUGUCGAGUGCGAUUUGAGAACUUCCAUUUCUUAUCACCCUCUAAUUUUGAGCAUAUUUCCCCUGCAACUACUUGAGCUAAAUCAUUGAUAAGGUCAUGCAUUACGAAUCGGGACUUAUCUUUACUGGAUGUCAGAAAAAAUGACCUCGACACUAGAUCUUGAAAAUAUUGAUUUCCGAGAUCUUUAAUUUGAGGCAUAGCUUUUUGUUGCAAGAGACCUUCUGCUCUCCACAACAAGAUAAUUUCUUCUUCCUCAAAUGCAUAUUCUUUAGGAAGUAUGGAGCAAUAUGCAAAACAUCGUUUCAAGUAUGACGGAAGAUGAUGGUAGCUUAAUCGCAAAGCUGGAAUUAUGCCACACUGCUCUUCUGGUAAGUUCCAUAUCUCACUCUCAUAUAUUCUUUCCCAUUUUCCAGGAUACGUAACAGUGCGAAGCAAGCUUCCAAUGGCCUUUGCAGCCAAAGGUAAGCCAUUGCACCUUCUAACAAUUUUCUCUCCAAUUUCUUUAAACUGGAGAUAUCCAUCGAAAUUUCUUGCUUUUAAUGCAUGCUGUGCAAAUAUGGAUAAACAAUCAUCUUCCGGUAGUUUAUCCAAAUGAAAAGCUUUGAGCGGAUCCACAAUAGAUGAAACAAUUUGAAGACGAGUGGUUACAAUGAUAUGGGUCCCUGCUCCAAACGGAGACCGUAAGAUGGUCCAAUCAUUAUAAUUCUCGUUCCAAAUGUCAUCUAAAACAAGCAAGAAUCUUUUCCCAAACAACUUCUCCUUCAACUUAACUUGAAGUAAAUCCAAGUUACUGUAAUCACAUGACUCAGAAGUGAUGGACUGUAAAAUUGCCUUUGUUAUAGCAAUUGCAUCAAAAUUAUCAGAAACGCAUACCCAGGCCUUGUGGUGAAAACACUGGUUGAUGGUGGCAUCAUUGUAAACAAGCUGAGCAAGAGUUGUUUUACCCAUCCCUCCCAUGCCCACGAUGGAAAGGACUGAAACUCCAUUGGAGUUAUCACCUUUGAGAAACUCAAUCAUUUCUGUCUUCUCCUUGUGUCUGCCAACAUACUCCACAACUCCAUCCAGUACGGAAGUUGAUUGCAGCCUAGGUUGCUUUCCCUUGGAGGUUGGAGCUUGAGACAAGAUCUCACUCAACCCCAAACUACUUCUUCGAGUAGUCAAACUAUUCAGUCUAGCAGUGAUCUCUUUCACCUUCGGAAUCAUGGAAUUCUUAAACAGGAAAAAAGUGGGAGUGAAAUUACUACUGGUACAGCAGGUAGGAAUGAGUUUCCGUACCUUGCUAGUGCUGGCUUCAGCUUGCGAUUUCUUGAGCUUGAGACGUAACUCUUCAUAAGCGAACUCAUCCAAGAUGUCAUCCACAUCGUAUGCCAAGUCCUGGAGAUCCUCCAACCAUUUCUUCACGCCCUCGUUCUUGAUCUGCUUCUCCUCUGCAUCGUCCAACACUGCUUGGAUAUCGGGCAAUAUGGACUGCCACUGCUUGAGCUGUGGGCGGAGUUGCUUAUGAUCAGCAACGAAGUUGAGCGCAGAGUCGAGCAACUUGCCCCCCAACAGCUCCAGAAACACAGACAGAGCAGCCUCUCCAAUGACAGACAUGGUGAAAUUGUGAGAAGGAAGCAGAAGAGAGAAAUGAAGAAGCCAAAUGGAAGUUCAGGAACGGAGUGGAGAUUGUGUAUAAUCAGUGAAAGUUGAAAAAAUCAGAGGAGGAGGCAGUGAGCUGAUAGUCUGAUAAAUAAAAUAAAGCCCAAUUGGCUUUUUGGGCAGUGAAACGAAUAAAGAAGGCGGAAAAGACAAUGGCUGAGCCACCCACCCACAUUGUUUAUGAAUUUUGAUGCUUUUCUCUUGCUUUUCUCCAUUAUCCCAAUUUCCAAGUAAAUGAAUGUUCAGUUCCAUGGCAAUGGCAUCCAAUGCCCAUAUUUGUACUUUAAUUAACAGCCAAUAUAGCAAGCACAUGUCAGUCUUUGUUUUUGGGAAUGAAAAAAAAAAUUCAUCCCAUUUUUUUUAAAAUUUCCAAAAUUUCAUCCCUUUUUAAUUGAAUAUUUUCUUUUAUUUUGUUGGUGAAUUUUUUUAUUAGAAUUUAAAUAUAUCUUUUAAUGUUACAUUAUAAUAUUAUAUAUUUAAUUUUAUUUUAUAUAAAUUACAUUCUAUACAUAUAUGAUAAAGUAGAAAAUGAGUUGGACUUAGCCAUUUUAAUUUUAGAGUCCAAGCAUGGCUCAUUUUAAACAAGUUUAAUUUUUUUUGUCUAAACUUAUAUUUCAAGCCUCAUUCUUUUUAUCUAAACCCUUUUAUAUUUUAAGCUCAUUUAGAACGAGUCUAUCUACAAAAGAAAAGCUUGUGAAAAGCGCAUAAUUAAUAAUUAGAAAUUGUCACGCAUGUAAAAAUAUAAUAUAUUAUAUAUAAAUUUAAAUUUUAAAAAUAAUAUUUCGUAUAUAAAUUUUAUAUUUUUGAGAAAUAAUAAUAUUUUAAAAAAGAUGGAUAAAUUUUUUUCCUAAUAAUUAGAAAUUAGUGAAUAAUAAUGAGUAGUUUAGUUUUUGAAGGAAAAAGAAAGAAAUAGUUUUAAUUGAGAAAAUGAUUUUUUAAGAAGUUAGUUUAAGAGUAGUGAAAUAAUUUAUUUUAUUUUAUAAAAUGUUGAAAUGAUAUAAUCAUCUCUAUAUUUAACAAAAUAAUAACAUUAGUUUUUUCAUGCUUUUACCAAUUGAGUUUGUGUUGCUCGAUUUGAUGUACCAAAUUUAAUAAGACAUUUUAUCAUAGUAUAAAUAAUUAUCUUGUAAUUAUAUGUAUUCAAAUGAACUUAAUUUUUAAAUCCGUCACCAAUCUUUAUAUUUUUUCUCUCUUAUAAUUAUAUUUUUACAUAAUGUUUUUAUAAUAUAUGAUAUGAUCAUAAAUUAAACCCUUAAUUAUAGUUAUUAAGCUUUCAUUUUUUCCACUAAAGUCAAUAAAUUAAUUUUUUAUUGGGAAACAUUUUUAUAUUAGUUAAUCAUGAGAAAACAUUUUUAUGUGAAAGUGUGUUUAACUAAUUAUAUUAUAGAAAAGUAUAUUUGAUAAUAGGCUCAAUUUACAUGUUUAUUGUGCUUAAAUUUGACAAAUUCUUUAAUGAGAUAUCAUUAAUUUUAGGUUUAUUAUUUGAUUUUUGAUUAGGUGAAAAAGGCAAACUUAAAAAGUAAAAAAGAGUCGGAAAUGCAAGUUGUCGCAAAAGUUUUAGGCCAUGAUCUAUCUUUUUCUUCCUUUUGGUAUAAUAACGUGACUCAAACUCAAACUACACAUACGAUAGCAAUUCAAUUGCUUUCUUUUCUUCUCUAUUUCUAAUUCUGUUCUUUCUUUCUCUUGCACAAUAUUGUGCCGCCACGCCACCCUCCCCUUUUUUUUCCUUUCUUUUAUUUGUUUAUUUCUUUUAUUUAAUAUUUGUUGAACCCUUUAAACUAGUAUGCUUAAUUUCAUGAGUAAUUAAACUUCCCAUCUAGCUUUUAAGUCAAGAGUCAAUUUGGGAGAGAGUUGUACUAUUCGAAAUCGUACUUUAAAACUUUUAUUUCAGUAUUUGUUAUUUCUCUGAUUUAGGAGAUACAUAUUAUCGUCUCAUAAAGUUGUUUUGGCACCAAAUGAGUUCAUUGCUUUGGUUUAAUAAAGAAUCAAUACUAUUGAUUAUCGUAUUCGAUCUACCGAAAAAUAAUUUGGCGUGUCCAAUUAAGUGGUUGAUGUAAAUAGUACUUAAACAAAUAACUAGAUGGAUGGUGAGGAUGAGUAAAAACUUUUAAUAUCAUCCAUAUCUUUUAUAGGUGGUGUAGUACUCUGUAAUAUACACUUAAUGGUUUGUCCUAUAUGAGUGUGUAGGCGGGCCGCUUCUAUGAGAUCUUUGGCAAUUUUUAGAGCACUCAUAAAAACCAGGCACGCGCAUAACCUAUUAGCGCUCUAUAGUAAAUCAUGUCUCAUUUGUUAAAAAUUCUGGUUCACAGUCCAAAUGACAAUAUGAUUAUUGCAAUAUAUUGAAACACUCACUUAAAAUUAUAACUUAAAUCUUUGAAAUAUGUGGGAGAUUAUUGGAAGUUUUCAUGUAUUUCAAAGAACUACAAAAAUCUCACAUUGCUAAAAAAAGAUCUUGAGUCAUUAUUUAUAAGUCAUUAUACUUCUUUGAACUUAAUAAGUACCAAAUUGAGAGUAUAGACUCGUGCACAUUUGAGCCUUUUUGUUUUUGGACUUAUUUUUUAUUGAAGUUUUGAAAGUCAAAGAAAAGUGAACUUGUAACACUUAUAUUUAGUCACGCUAAAUAUAAUUUAAUCGAUUGAAGCUAUUUUUAAUUAAGUCCAAAUUCAUUGAACCUUUUUCAAACUAGUUUUAGCUAAUUCAAUCAACCUACCUUUGCUAUAUUAAGCCAAUCAAAUCCCUAUAAAUACCAUGCAUGGUAGUUUUAAAAGUUACCCAUUAGCUUUCAAGUUCUCAUCUAAAUUUCUUCUGUAUUCUCUUUAGAAAAACCUUCCUCCUACAAUCUCAAUUGAGUGUUUAAUUGGUCGGCUCUUUAGAAAAGCCUUCAAGGAUAAUGAUAUUCACGCCCCAAGUCGUGAUUCUAAUUUUCUAAACCUCCGAUUUCUUAAGAGAAAGUCAAGGGCAACAACCAGUCAAAUUUUAAGUUCAAUUAAAUGAAUUCACAAACUUAUAGAGUUUAUUGUUAUUAUUUUAAUUAGUAUCAAAAGUUUUCAAUUCAAGCUUGAAUUAUAAUCGAGCUUGAAUUAUAAGUCAAAUUUUAAUUUUGUUAUUCAAGCUUUAUCUCAAAUCAAGCUCAAGCUUUAAAAGUGAAAUUUGAUUGAGCUUGAGCUAAAUUUUGAGUAUCGAAUUUUAAGUUAACUCAAAAUUUUCAAGUUAAGCUUUGACUUGAUUACACGGUUAGUGUAAAUCGUACAAAUGUAAAGUAUAAUAUAAUUAUAUAAAUUUUGAUACUAUAAUAAUUUCAAUUUUAAAAUUUUAACACAACUAUGGUCUAAAAUGCUCCGUUAUCAAGAAGCUUAGAAAUUAGAAGAUGCAGAGGAAAACAGAGCAUUCAAUUUGCUAAAUAAAUGUUGCAGAGAAUUAAGCUAUAGCAAAUCAGUUGAAUAUAUACACGUUAGAGGUGCUCAUGGGCCGGGCCGGGCCCAUAAAAAAUUUCAGCCCGGAUCCUAGGCCCGGGCCCGGCCCGAAAUAUGGGCCUAAGAUUUUGCCUAGGCCCGGCCCGGGAAAAAAAUCAUAAGCCCGGGCCCGGCCCGGCCCAUUUUUAUUUUAAAAAUUUUAAAAAAUUAAAAAAAGUAUUUUAAAAUAUUUUUAAAAUAUUUUAAAAUUAAAAAAAUUAAAAAAUUAUUUUAAAAUUAUUUUAAAAUUAGUAAAAAUUAAAAAAAGUAUUUUAAAAAUAUUUUAAAAUUUAAAAAAAAUUAAAAAAGUAUGUAAAAAAUAUUUUAAAAUUAAAAAAAUAAAUAUAUUUAAUAUAUCGGGCCGGGCCGGGCCCGGGCCGAAAAAGUGGUGCCCGAGGCCCGGCCCGUUUUCUAAACGGGCCUCGUUUUUUUGCCCAAGCCCAUAUUUCGGGCCUAUAUUUUUACCCAAACCCUCCCAUAUUACGGCCCGCCCGGCCCAUGAGCACCUGUAAUACACGUACAUAUUUUUAUAAUUUAUUUAUAUAAAUAUAUACAUACUUAUAUAUUUUUUUAUAUUUUAUAAUUUUCAUAUACAUACAUACAUACAUACAUACAUACAUACAUACAUACAUACAUACAUACAUACAUAUCUUUUAGCAUUUUUUAUAAUUUUAUUCAUUUUCUUUAUUGUUAUUAUUAUUUAUUUAUUUAUUUAUUUACGUGUUCGUUAUUAUUUUAAAGGAACGUUUUAGUUCUAUUCGUUUAUUUACUUGUUAUUGUAUAUAUAAUUGAUUCAUCUUUUAUUUAUUUAUUUAUUUAUUUUUUGCUCGUAGUAUUUUUACUUGCAUUAUCAUAAUUGUUAUUACAUCACAUAUAAUUUUUUAUCCAAAUUCAAAAAGAAAAUUGUAAAUUAAGGCAACAUUUCACGUUUGGAAAUUCGAGAAAACGUGUUCGAACGUGCUGGAUUUCGAUUUCUCGUUUAACCAAAUAGCCAAAUAUCCUUGUAAAAUUUCAAAGUAUGGGUUUUGGAAACCAUAAGGUGAUCUUGGUUUCGAGGGUUUAAAGUAUCGUAUCCUAACGUGCUGGAUGUGAUAUUCUUUCGGAACAAGAGAAUCCUAAAUUUCAGCCCAUAUUAUUCGAAAAUUUUUAGGAUUGUAUUUUUAAAACUUUCAAAGUUUUCAAUCUUCGACACUAAGACACUAAUUAAUCAACUAGGUACCAAUUUUGGGCGUUGCGAGGGUGCUAAUCCCUCCUUGUACGUAACUGGCUCCCGAACUUGUUUUUUCUGAAUUUCGCAGACCAAAAGCAUUGUUUUAAUCAAUCCAAACUGUUUAUUAAAAACAAACGUUUUACUAGGUGACCCGAUCACACCUCAUCAAAAAAGAUUUGUGGUGACUCCUAUAUUCGUUUUCAUUUUCAAAAUCCAAGUCGACUCCGUCUUGUCAAAAAAAAUGGUGUCAACAAUUAGGUGCAAAAACAAACUUAGAAAGUAAAAAGGAGUUGAAAAUGCAAGUCGUUGUAAAAGUUUUGGGCCAUGAGCUUUUUUUUUUGGGUACAAUAACAUGACAAAACCCGAACAACAAACAUGACUAAUGUGACUCAAACCCAAAACACCUGGGACACUGAAUACCCUUGACCAUUAGGCCAUCAUAUAGGGUUCGAAAAAGAAAGAGAGUACUUUUAAUUUUUUAUUAGGAUAAUAUUUUAAUUUUCUAGUAUUUUAUUUUUUGAUAUAUUUUUAGAUAACAAUCUAAUAUUGGAUUAGAUUAAAGAAUUUAAGUAGGAUUAGGUAUAUUCUAAAAGGGACAGCAAUUCAAUUGCUUUCUUUUCUUCUCUGUUUCUAAUUCUGUUCUUUCUUUCUCUUGCACAAUAUUGUGCCGCCACGCCACCCUCCCUUUUUUUUUCCUUUCUUUUAUUUGUUUAUUUGUUGAACCCUUUAAACUAGUAUGCUUAAUUUCAUGAGUAAUUAAACUUCCCAUCUAGCUUUUAAGUCAAGAGUCAAUUUGGGAGAGAGUCGUACCAUUCGAAAUUGUACUUCAAAACCUUUAUUUCAGUAUUUGUUAUUUCUCUGGUUUAGGAGACCGUCUCAUAAAGUUUUUUUGGCACCAAAUGAGUUAAUUGCUUUGGUUUUAAUAAAGAAUUAAUACUAUCGAUUAUCAUAUUCAAUCUACCAAAAAACACAUUGGCGUGUCCAAUUAAGUGGUUGAUAUAAAUAGUACUUAAACAAAUAACUACAUGGAUGGUGAGGAUGAGUAAAAACUUUUAAUAUCAUCCAUAUCUUUUAUAGGUGGUGUAUUGCUCUGUAGUAUACACUUAAUGGGUUGGCCUGUAUGAGUGUGUAGUGGGGCCGCUUCUAUGAGAUCUUUGGUAAUCUUUAGAGUACUCAUAAAAACUAGACACGCGCAUGACCUAUUAGCACACAAUCGCAUUGAAGAAUGAAUCAUAAAUAUAAUGUGGUAAGUGAGAAAGUUAAUUUGGAAAUUAAAUAAUUAGUUCAAAAACUUAUUUCAUCAAUUAUUUAAGUAAAUCAUAUCUCAUUUGUUAAAAAUUUUGGUUCACAGUCCAAAUGACAAUAUGAUUAUUGCAGUAUAUUGAAACUCUCACUUAAAAUUAUAACUGAAAUCUUUGAAAUAUGUGGGAGAUUAUUGGAAGUUUUCAUGUAUUUCAAAGAACUGCAAAAAUCUCACAUUGCUAAAAAAAGAUCUUGUGUCAUUAUUUAUAAGUCAUUAUACUUCUCUGAACUUAAUAAGAACCAAAUUGAGAGAGUAGACUCGUCUACAUUCAAGCCUUUUUGUUUUUGGACUUAUAUUUUAUUGAAGUUUUGAGAGUCAAAGAAAAGCGAACUUGUAACACCUAUAUUUAGUCACGCUAAAUAUAAUUUAAUCGAUUGAAGCUAUAUUUAAUUAAGUCCAAAUUCAUUGAACCAUUUUCAAACUAGUUUUAGCUAAUUCAAUCAACUUACCUUUGCUAUAUUAAGCCAAUGAAAUCCCUAUAAGUACCAUGCAUGGCAGUUUUCAAAGUUCCUCAUUAGCUUUCACAUUCUCAUCUAAAUUUCUUCUGUAUUCUCUUCAGAAAAACCUUUCUCCUACAAUCUCAAUUGAGUGUUUUCAUUGGUCGGCUCUUUAGAAAAGCCUUCAAGGAUAAUGAUAUUCACGCCUCAAGGCAUGAUUCUAAGUUUCUAAACCUCCGAUUUCUUAAGAGAACGUCAAGGGCAACAACCAAUCAAAUUUUAAGUUCAAUUAAAUGAAUUCACAAACUUAUAGAGCUUAUUAUUAUUAUUUUAAUUAGUAUCAAAAGUUUUUAAUUCAAGCUUGAAUUAUAUGUCAAAUUUUAAUUUUGUUAUUCAAGAUUUAUCUCAAAUCAAGCUCAAGCUUUAAAAGUGAAAUUUGAUUGAGCUUGAGCUAAAUUUUGAGUAUCGAAUUUUAAGUUAGCUCAAAAUUUUCAAGUUAAGCUUUGACUUGAUUACACGGUUAGUGUAAAUCAUACAAAUGUAAAGUAUAAUAUAAUUAUAUAAAUUUUGAUACUAUAAUAAUUUCAAUUUUAAAAUUUUAACACAACUAUGGUCUAAAAUGUCCCGUUAUCAAGAAGCUUAGAAAUUAGAAGACGCAGAUGAAAACAGAGCAUUCAAUUUGCUAAAUAAAUGUUGCAGAGAAUUAAGCUAUAGCAAAUCAGUUGAAUAUAGCUUUCAGUGCCUGCAAAAUUAAAUACAAAAUAUAUACAAAAUGUUACUUUUUAGUUGAUGUUUUGUUGCUUAGUUAAAUUAGAACUAAGUUAGUAACAUACUUGAUAGAUUUGAUAAAUCAGCUUAACCAAGUGUGGAAGCAAAGUUUUUUAAGUUUCAAGACUUUGUUAGUGGAGGUAAUAUUUUCAUCUUUUGACAAGCUGAUUGCUUGAUAUAUGUAAUGGUUUUAGUUCUCAAUGAAUGAUGAUGAAUCUUUCAGCAAAUUCUUCUCCUUCUUUUGGUUUUUUAUCAAGCAUUCUGUUUAUAUAGCUUAAGCUUAGCUCCUUUGUUUGUUCAGCAAGAUAUCGAAGCUUAGUUUCAGCUAAAAUUUCUUAUUCUGUUUUCUAUGUUCCUACACAACUACAACCGUAUCAUAAUAUUUCAGCUAAUCUAUGCCUUGCACGAAAUCUUAAAAAACCUCCAAUGGCAGUCAAGGAAGAGUCCAACAUGGGAAGUUAAUAGAAUCUUCAGCUAAUCAUCAUUUUAUUCCAAAAGAAGUAACCUUUCACUUUCAGCAAUCAAUUAAUAAGCAUUUGCAUAUCAAAUUUAUAUUUUUAUUCUAUUAAAUAUUUUUUAAAAAGAAUUUCCAUGUCAUGCCUAUCUAUAUCGUGUUGUACUUGUAUUGUGUCUGAGCUUUUUUUUGGCCCUGUUUUUGAAGAAUCAUGUUGGUGCUUCCUAAUCUUUUAAGUAAUGGGUGGAGACAGAAAAAUAUAAGUGGAGUAGUAAAUUGGAAGAAGCCAUGUUAGCCGGACCAGUUUUUUUUUUUUUCUUUAUUCACUCAUAUUUUAACAUUUUGAAAAUAUUUCUUUAAUGGCUUGGAUUAUAUGGAAUUCAUUUUACAAGUAGUUGAGCUUUUUUUAAUGGGAAGCAACCAUGGUGGUUGGUUCCGCACCAUGGUUUCAGCUGUACCUGCCAGUGUCACUGUUCCAGUGAUACAGCACAACAAUAAGGAAUACCUCUUUUCCACAUCGGUGAAAAUUUCAGACUGUUCUGUUUACAUUGGCUCAUUUAAAACAAUUCAAGUUGCACCGGCCGAAACAUGAUGCAUCGGCUGUUACAUGAAUAAUUUAAAAAAUAUAAUUUUUUUAAUACCUAGCAAUAAUAAUUAACUAGAGACCAACAUUUGUUUUUUCAAUCUCGAAAUGUCAAAAACAAUACUAUAUACAAAACAUCCUUUUGUCAACUUAUAUUAAAAGCAUUAGAAAAAGAACUUACCACUCCAUUCCUUUGUCAACAUCUGUCGACCAACGAAGUUGUGCUGUUUGUUGUGCGUAUAAGCAGGUAUUCUCCUCUUUGGAUACCCACCAUUCAAGAUUUAUCACCCAAAGGUACGUACACCUCCCCAGUGGUACCAUUUUGCCUUUUAUCUGCCACCAAUUUCAUGGUUCCCAAAGCUGAAUGAAAGGACGAGGCUAAAUAAAUAACAUAUUUGACUCCUCAACCACAACUAUGCACCAAGCACCAAAAUAUGCUCCAACACAGGAAAGGAAUCGAUCUACUCCCUAUACUGCCAUUUUUUUAUCAUUUCACAAAAUAAAUAGCGAAAUGUCAAAUAUUUGAAGUAAUGGGUGGAGAUAUAGAAAAAUUGAAAUGGAGUCUUAACUUGGAAGAGGCCAUGUUGGCUGGACCUGUUUUUUUUUUUUUUUCUCCACUCAUAUUUUAACAUUUUACAAAUAUUUCUUUAAUGGCUUAGAUUAUAUGAAAUUUAUUUUACAAAGAGAUGAAUUUUUUUAAUGAGAAGCAACCAUGGUGAUCUGUUCCGCACCAUGGUUUCAGUCGUACCGAUCGGUGCCACCAUUUUAGUGCUAUAGCGCAUCCAGCAACACCCUCUUCCGUAUCGGUGAAAAAUUCAAUCUGUACCAUUCACAUUGGUUCGUUUCAGUCAAUUUCAACCACACUGAUUGAGACAUGGUGCACCAGCUGCUAUAUGAAUAAUAUUAAAAAAUGUAAAACUUUUAACUAAUUUUUAUUAGACUAAUGACUUAAUUUGAAUGUAUUGACCAAUAAAAAAUAUUACACUAAAAAGUAAAGUUUAACAUUUAAAUUUUGUUCUGGAACAUAUUUUUACAUUAAAAAUUUAAAAAUUAAAAUAUAAUAAAAAAAAUCCACUCACUUCAUUAUCAUAGAAAAAUCUUCGCCCAUCCUUCAACUUCUUUUAUUGAAAAAAAUCCCUUCUUUUUUCUUGUUAUUUUUUAAUUUAUUAAAUGAUGAGUUUUUUAUUUGUAGAGUUUAUUAAUCAAUAUUUUAUAUAAUUUAUGAAUAUUUUACAUUUGAAAUUUAUUCAGUAUCAUUUAUUUGGUAUUUGUUUAUUUAUUUAUAUAGAUAUAAAAUAUCGAUAAAUUCAAAACGAUAUAUCGAAAUAAACUGAUACCUGUUUAUACCAAUUCCGGUAGAAAAGUGGCGCAUCUACCAGUGUGGUGCAGACUACCUUGAAAGCAAUUAUGUGGCAGACUUGUUUGAAAGAAAAUGAGUAAAAGCGUGUUGAAAUAUUAUUUCGUGUGGCUGUAAUAUUUGAUGCUUUGUUUUCUUUUGAGUAUUUUGGUUUGAUGCUUUUGAUUUGUGUUGAUAUUUGAGUGUAAUCAUUGAGAUGUAUAUGGCUAUCUCAUUUUUUUUUAUGAUUUGUUUUGUAUUUACUGUAGUUGUUUUAUUAAUAAAAUUAUGUUUUGGAUUCAUAAAAAAAAAUUAAGAAAUUCAAAACACAAAAACGAAAGUAGAGAAAGUGAACACAAUGAUUUACGUGGUUCGGAAUAUUUCCUACAUCCACGGGCAAAACCAAAAAUGAAAUUCACUACUAAAAAAUGAAGAUUACAAUAGAAUUACAUAAUAAAAUAAAAUAACUCACCACAAUAACUAUCCACAAACUUUGAGCAAUCUUCUAAAUAAGCAUCAACUAUAAACUUUCCACAAACUGAAAAAUACCUGGCAAUAAUAAAUAACAAGUGGCCAACAAUCUCAAAAUGUCAAAAACAAUAAUUUAUUUAAAACAUCCUAACCUUUUAUCAAUCAUCAAUGGAGACCUAAGAUAGGUUGAUGAUUUGCGUAGAUAGAAAUAGAUGAUGCUAAAAGCAUUACAAAAAAAAAAAAAAACUUACCACUCCAUUCCUUUUGUCAACAUCUGUCGACCAACGAAGUUGUGCUGUUGUUGUGCCCAUAAGCAGGUAUUGCCCUCUUUGGAUGCCCACCAUUCCAGGGUUUAUCACCCAAAGGUAUGUACACCUCCUCAGUGGUACCUUUUGGCCUUUUAUCUGCCACCAAUUUCAUGGUUCCCAAAGCUGAAUGAAAGUAUAAGGCUAAAUAAGUAGCAUAUUUGGCUCCUCAACUACAACUUUGUACCAAGCACCAAAAUAUGAUCCAGCACAUAUUCUCCAUAUAACCUAUACUUGCCCUAUCAUAAACAUUGAUAACAUCACAGUUGAAGCCUUUCAAAGCAGGGGAAAUUCAUAUAAAGAUUGGUAGAAAAUAUGCCAAUCUACCGGACCGGAAAGCUGAAAAGCAACAUUAAAAGAGAGCUGCAAUAAAACUAGUUCCAAACUGCUGCAGUAUAUAUAUCAUUUGAUUCAUUUAACUCAUACCUCAAAGUCAAAAGCAAGAGAGUCGAUAUAUAGUGAGUCACUUAGUCACUGCUAUUUUUGGGAACACUGAGGCUGGAAGUGAAAACCCCAAAUUGCAGCUCAGUGAACUCUGUUGUGUUUAUGUUAAAUUGAGCUCUUUAAUGCCAUGUUGUAACGUGUACCGCAUCCCUCCAUUCAUCCUGCAAGGAUCAAUACCAUGUCUACAGUGAUGACGAAAUCUGUUGGCACUGAUAUCCUUAUGCAAUAACAGAAAUCUAUCUACAAAGAUCAACAAACUAUCACGUAAAAGACUUGUUCUUCUGAAACACCAUUGGUUAAUAGUACAACGAAAUCUCAAAUACUUUUAACUAAAAUCCCAUUCCCAUAUCCCAAUUUCAUAGCAACUGCUUAGAAAUUAGAAGAUGCAGAUGAAAACAGAACAUUCAAUUUGCUGAAUAAAUGAUGCAGAGAAUUGACUAACCGCUUUACAACAUCAAAUAAGCUGAAGCAAACCAGUUGAAGGUCUCCUCUAUUUUUCGCCAGUUUAGCCUUCAAUGCCUGCAAAAAAGUAAAUACAAAAUAUAUAACACCGAUUUCUAUUAUCGUGUUGUUCAUGAGGACAAUCAGAUAUAUAUAAAGAAAAGGUAUGAAAUUGAUAAAUGUUUAAAAUGCGUUUCGCACCUGUGGUUUGAGUGUGGAGAAAUCGAUGCUAGAUUUUGCUGCUUAAAUUUCAAUGUAAUUCCCUCGGGUUGACUAUUUCACCAUCAAUUUGAGCAAAAGGUAUGUGGGCAAUCUUGGACCACUCUCGUCCUUUACCCCUACUGCACCCUUUUUCUAGCAACGGGCAAUCAUGAAUUGAUAGACGCUCAAGCGAGAGAAGCAUAUCUUUUUCCGGAAGAGAUUUGAGCUUAGGACAAUCAUCGACUCGCAAUUUUUGAAGAGAGGUCAGGUAUUGAAAGCCCUUGGAGCACAUGAAUUCCAAAUUCUCAAAAUUGUCAAUGGAAAUAGAUGUGAGAGAAGGAGGCAGCGUCAUUCCUAUCCCUUCUUCUGGAAACGACACCACAUUUGAGCAUCCUUCACCGUUGAUUUUGAGUUUCUGAAGAGAGGUGAGUCUGUUAAAUCCCCAUUGAACAAGUGAUGUAUAAAUUUUGGGUGCGUUUGAGAUUGCAAGUGAUGUGAGGUUGGCAGGGAAACCCUCUUCUGGAAAGAAGUCAACCGAACAAUAAGACACCUUUAAUUCUCGAAGGGAGGUGAAGUUGUUGAUCCACUUGGGAAGGACUCCAAAAUUUUCACAAUCCUCAAUUGCGAAAACUCUGAGAUUUGUGGUGGGCAACCCACUUUCUUCAAAUGAAACCAGAUUUGGACACCAACAUAAUUGAAUCUCCUGAAGAUGGCUGAGCUUGUCCAAUCCCCGCGAUAAUGAUUUAAUUUUUCCAGCACCAUUAAUACGAAUGAUUUCGAGAUCAGUGGUUUCAAGGAAGUCUUGGGCUAUGCAUUCCAACACUGGACAAUCCCAAAUUAAUAGCUGUUUAAGCAUUACGGGUAACUUGGCGUUUAAAAAUAACCUACUUAGCUUUGAACAACGGUAAAUAUUAAGACGUUGAAGCCGAUUGCAUAUAUCGCCCCUUGAUGAUAACCAUAUUAGAGAUGGACAGCACCUUAUUUCCAAACGCUCAAGAAGACAAGUGUUGCUACUCAUACUCUUAUUAUUAUUUUCUUUUUCAUCAACCAAAUAUUGCAAAUUCCUGCAAUUCCGAAUCCACAGCUCUUUUAAAGCAGGCGGAAAGUUACUCUCUGCAAAACAAACCAAGCCUGGACAUUUUUGAAGUUGCAUUCUUGUAAUCAAUGGGAAAGCAUGUAAGGCUUCUGGUAGUCUGAGCCUUUCACAAUUAUAUAUUAGAAGAGAUUCAACACCUGGAAUCUUGUCAAGUUGCAAUCUCUCCUCUGUUUCCAAACAGACCAAUUGGGGACAACCCGCAAUCGUAAUAAAACGAUGCCCGACUAAUCUUAACCCAAUUUGCGAUAAAGAUCCCAGCUCCUUCCAACCAGAUAUCUUGAAUGUUUCGGAGUUUGCAAAUCUCAACAUUAUCCUCUCUGCUGAAAUAUUAAAAUUUGAAAUAUUUGAAACAAACACAUCUUUCAAGGAGGUAACCUUCUGUACAGACAAAGAACCUUCAUCCACCAAUUCUUCACACCCUUCAACCCAUAUUUUACGCAGCAAGGGAAAACAAGAAAUUGAAACUACCAGUCUCUUACACUCAUAGAUUUCAAGUGUCUGCAAGGAUUGAAGGAUGGUUGGCAACCUUCCCAACAAUAGAGGACAUCUUUUAAUUGAAAGCUUACGAAGGCUGGGAAAUUUCGAAACUUGCUCAUCGUCUUCACAUAGGUUCCACUCCUCCCAAUUCAGCAUAUUGUCAAAACACAGAGACUCUAGUGAUGCAAAAGCAUUUGAUUGAUUUUCUCCAAACAACUCAGCACCAAUCUUGUGUACUUGAUCCAAACCACUAAUUGAAAGAUCUUUUAACCACAACAACCUUCCAAUCGAUGGUAGAGAUUUGCAAUUUUUACAAUUGCGAAGCUCCAAUGACAACAUAUUUUCGAAGGAAGAAUCUGCAAUCCAAGUAGAGAAUUUCGCACCACCAUAAUUCUGAAUGACGAGUUGCUCAAGCUUUUUUGGAGGACGAAGAGAGUCCAACACCCAUUCUUCAACUUCUUUAUUCCUUGAAGCCUUUUCAAAUUUUUCACUCCAAUGCAAUACCAAUCGACGAAUUCCCCGCUUCUCAUUUAACUUGGUUUCCCCUGCAUCUUCACCAUUAACAUUCUCCAACCCAGAAAGACGGAAAUCACCUUUGAGGUUUGACAAAUAUUUCAAACCUCUAAUAUAACAACCAUCACCUUCCCCUAUUAUAAAAUCAGUUAACCUUUGAAGUUUCGUUAGCUUAUCAAUUCUAAAAGGAAUCCUUUCUAUUGAGUCCGCACCUCUGAUAUCAAGAUAAUGCAAGUUGACAAGAUUUCCCAUCUUUGAAGGUAACCUUUGAAGCCAGUAACACCCUCUUAAUAAUAAAGUUUCCAAAUGGUAAAGAGUGCACAAAGAAUCAGGUAAGCAUUUGAUAUGGGUGUUGGAAAAAUUUAAGUAGCGAAGAUGUUUUAAAUUUUCAAAAACAUCAGGCAACUCAGUGAUCCAAUACCCACUCAAAGAAAGCAUCCUUAAGUAGCCAAGUCUUGGUAGCAAAUCAACCAAAACAACAUUAGUUAAAAAAGGCCCCCGAUAAUCACUAGAAAACAUUAAGGGUAAAAAAGUACGUAAAGAAUUCACUUGAUCAAAUGCUUCAAACUUCUUCACUGUGUCAUAUGUUCCAGCAAUAUAAGAAGAAUGUCGAGUGCGAUUUGAGAACUUCCAUUUCUUAUCACCCUCUAAUUUUGAGCAUAUUUCCCCUGCAACUACUUGAGCUAAAUCAUUGAUUAGGUCAUGCAUUACGAAUCGGGACUUAUCUUUACUGGAUGUCUGAAAAAAUGACCUGGACACUAGAUCUUGAAAAUAUUGAUUUCCGAGAUCUUUAAUUUGAGGCAUAGCUUUUUGUUGCAAGAGACCUUCUGCUCCCCAUAACAAGAUAAUUUCUUCUUCCUCAAAUUCAUAACCUUUAGGAAGUAUGGAGCAAUAUGCAAAACAUCGUUUCAAGUAUGACGGAAGAUGAUGGUAGCUUAAUCGCAAAGCUGGAAUUAUGCCACACUGCUCUUCUGGUAAGUUCCAUAUCUCACUC